rnacentral:lncRNA from 1 species
AUGAUUGACAGCCGAAGGGAAGAAACGAAACGGGGGGGAGAGCCAGAAGGAAAACGGAGAAGGAGGGAGGGGGAGGUUGAGGAGGGGGCAGGAAAGGGAGGGAGCUUCAGAAAAUCCGAAUUUCCCUUCCUCUCAACGCCCCCCCCCCAAAAAAAACCGAGCGAGCGAGCCCGAGAAAGACAGCUAUUGUGCCUGAGCGCCAGGACGCGCGGAAUUCUGCCUCCGCAUGCACGCACCCCUACAGAAACCCGAAACCACAAAAACAACACGAUAACAAGAAGAGUCGCAGCCGCAGCAGCGAGAACACGCGCACGAGACCAGGCCCUCCUCUGCUCCUUUCCCAAAUCUAAGCGCCCCCGGCAACCCAGAUGCGCCGGUCGGACAGAGGCGAAGACGACGGAAGGGGGAGGAGGUAAAAAGAAACCCAGAUAUGGAGGGGGGGGCAAGAGAGGAAGGAUGAGGGCAAGGGGCAUAAACGGAGGGAAAGCCGCGCAGGGAAAUCCAGCGCAAAGCCGCCAGACCUACCGGGCAGCGGAGCGCGCAAUCCCCGCGGGCGCGGCGGGCGCCCUCUCCGCGUCUCUGGCGCCCCCUCCGGCGCGGUGCUACGUCGGCCCCCGCGCCGGGCGGGUCGGGGGCAGCCGGAGCGGAGCAGGCAUCGCCGGAUCGGUGGCGGCGGCGGCGGCAGCAUCAGCGGCAGGCGGCGCCCGCCCCGCAUCUCCCCUCCCCGCCCCUUGCCCAUCCUUCUCCCUUGCCCCCUCCCCCUCCUCUUCAGGCGAGAAGGGGGGAGGGGAGGAGGGCGCCUGUCCAGCCCCCACCUUCCCCUUCCCCUUCCCUGCCCCCUCCACACCUGGCCGCUUCCUACCUGCCGGCUGCGGAGCCCGGAGCUGCUUCGACGGUAGCAAGCGAGCCAGGCGCGGUCGGCGCCGGACUGGGCUGGAGAACAGUCGCGCCCUCCGAUCGCGCCGGUGGCGGAUCAGGCCCGACGGAGAGGAACAGUCUCGUGGGAAGAACAGCGGUGGGAGCAGAGAACCCGCGAAGGCGACGAGACGGGGUCUUCUCUGUCCUGUCUCUCCGGGCUUCACCUGCCCAGUCCGUGACCCCUCCCCCCAGUUAGAACCAGCCUCCCGACAGGUACGGAAAGGGGGAGAGGUCGACCGCGGGGAAGAACUUCAUCUCCUCCGUUUCCUAAUCUGUUUCUGGCGACUUGAACUCGGUGGAUCCCGCUUUCCCAGCGAGGAGGACUGUUCUUGUAAAUCGCUUCGGGAUUCUCUAACUGCAAGCAGCUUCAUGGAAAACCAUGGCUACCACCUCCGGUUUGGAGCGAGCAGUAGGAUGCCUCCAAAGGCCAUUGCAGGAUGCUGA